AGAGUUUGAUCCUGGCUCAGGAUGAACGCUGGCGGCGUGCUUAACACAUGCAAGUCGAACGAACCUUCGGGUUAGUGGCGGACGGGUGAGUAACGCGUGAGAAUCUGCCCUCAGGAGGGGGAUAACGGCUGGAAACGGCCGCUAAUACCCCAUAUGCCGAGAGGUGAAAUGAAUUUCGCCUGAGGAUGAGCUCGCGUCUGAUUAGCUAGUUGGUGUGGUAAAGGCUCACCAAGGCAUCGAUCAGUAGCUGGUCUGAGAGGAUGAUCAGCCACACUGGGACUGAGACACGGCCCAGACUCCUACGGGAGGCAGCAGUGGGGAAUUUUCCGCAAUGGGCGCAAGCCUGACGGAGCAACGCCGCGUGAGGGAUGAAGGCCUCUGGGCUGUAAACCUCUUUUAUCAAGGAAGAAGAUCUGACGGUACUUGAUGAAUAAGCCACGGCUAAUUCCGUGCCAGCAGCCGCGGUAAUACGGGAGUGGCAAGCGUUAUCCGGAAUUAUUGGGCGUAAAGCGUCCGCAGGCGGUCUUGAAAGUCUGUUGUUAAAGCGUGGAGCUCAACUCCAUUUCAGCAAUGGAAACUAGAAGACUAGAGUGUGGUAGGGGCAGAGGGAAUUCCCGGUGUAGCGGUGAAAUGCGUAGAUAUCGGGAAGAACACCAGUGGCGAAGGCGCUCUGCUGGGCCAUAACUGACGCUCAUGGACGAAAGCCAGGGGAGCGAAAGGGAUUAGAUACCCCUGUAGUCCUGGCCGUAAACGAUGAACACUAGGUGUCGGGGGAAUCGACCCCCUCGGUGUCUUAGCCAACGCGUUAAGUGUUCCGCCUGGGGAGUACGCACGCAAGUGUGAAACUCGAAGGAAUUGACGGGGGCCCGCACAAGCGGUGGAGUAUGUGGUUUAAUUCGAUGCAACGCGAAGAACCUUACCAGGGUUUGACAUCCUGCGAAUCCCUUGGAAACUUGGGAGUGCCUUCGGGAGCGCAGUGACAGGUGGUGCAUGGCUGUCGUCAGCUCGUGUCGUGAGAUGUUGGGUUAAGUCCCGCAACGAGCGCAACCCACGUCUUUAGUUGCCAGCAUUAAGUUGGGCACUCUAGAGAGACUGCCGGUGAUAAACCGGAGGAAGGUGUGGAUGACGUCAAGUCAUCAUGCCCCUUACAUCCUGGGCUACACACGUACUACAAUGCUACGGACAAAGGGCAGCAAACUCGCGAGAGCUAGCAAAUCCCAUAAACCGUGGCUCAGUUCAGAUCGUAGGCUGCAACUCGCCUACGUGAAGGAGGAAUCGCUAGUAAUCGCAGGUCAGCAUACUGCGGUGAAUACGUUCCCGGGCCUUGUACACACCGCCCGUCACACCAUGGAAGUUGGCCACGCCCGAAGUCGUUACUCCAACCCGCAAGGGAGGAGGAUGCCGAAGGUGGGGCUGAUGACUGGGGUGAAGUCGAAACAAGGUA
rnacentral:rRNA from 1 species